GAUGAACGCUAGCGGCAGGCUUAAUACAUGCAAGUCGUGGGGCAGCAUGAGUAGCAAUACUUGAUGGCGACCGGCAAACGGGUGAGGAACACGUACACAACCUUCCUUCAAGCGGGGAAUAGCCCAGAGAAAUUUGGAUUAAUACCCCAUAAUAUAUUUGAUAAGGCAUCUUAUUAAUAUUAAAGCUUCGGCACUUGAUGAUGGGUGUGCGGCUGAUUAGAUAGUUGGCGGGGUAACGGCCCACCAAGUCUACGAUCAGUAGCUGAUGUGAGAGCAUGAUCAGCCACACGGGCACUGAGACACGGGCCCGACUCCUACGGGAGGCAGCAGUAAGGAAUAUUGGACAAAUGGACGAAAGUCUGAUCCAGCCAUGCCGCGUGAAGGAUUAAGGUCCUCUGGAUUGUAAACUUCUUUUAUAUGGGACGAAAAAGGGCAUUCUUGUUCACUUGACGUACAUAUGAUAAGCACCGGCUAACUCCGUGCCAG
rnacentral:rRNA from 1 species